rnacentral:rRNA from 1 species
AGUGAACGCUGGCGGUAGGCCUAACACAUGCAAGUCGAACGGCAGCACAGUAAGAGCUUGCUCUUACGGGUGGCGAGUGGCGGACGGGUGAGGAAUACAUCGGAAUCUACUUUUUCGUGGGGGAUAACGUAGGGAAACUUACGCUAAUACCGCAUACGACCUACGGGUGAAAGCAGGGGAUCUUCGGACCUUGCGCGAUUGAAUGAGCCGAUGUCGGAUUAGCUAGUUGGCGGGGUAAAGGCCCACCAAGGCGACGAUCCGUAGCUGGUCUGAGAGGAUGAUCAGCCACACUGGAAGUGAGACACGGUCCAGACUCCUACGGGAGGCAGCAGUGGGGAAUAUUGGACAAUGGGCGCAAGCCUGAUCCAGCCAUACCGCGUGGGUGAAGAAGGCCUUCGGGUUGUAAAGCCCUUUUGUUGGGGAAGAAAAGCAGCAGGUUAAUACCCCGCUGUUCUGACGGUACCCAAAGAAUAAGCACCGGCUAACUUCGUG